AUGAGCUGCUCCUGCUUCAAAGGAGCACAAUCCACUGGCACCUCAGGCCUGGGUCUCCAAGGAAUUAAUGGAAUCCCAAACUGGUUUGGGAUGGAAGGGACCUUAAAUCCCACCCAGUGCCACCCCUGCCAUGGCAGGGACACCUCCCACUGUCCCAGGUGCUCCCAGCCCCAGUGUCCAGCCUGGCCUUGGGCACUGCCAGGGAUCCAGGGGCAGCCACAGCUGCUCUGGGAAUUCCAGCCCAGCCCCUCCUCACCCUGCCAGGGAGGAAUUUCUGCUCCCCUAGACCAAAGCUUUGACAAGUUUGCAUCAGUUGCCUGUUUUAAAUUUGCUUUUUCAGCCUUUCAGGCUUUGUCUUUGUUCCUUUGUUGCAGCAAAACCUCAAUCGGAAACUCGGGUUGGCUUCUCUUCACCACUUGUUGCUUAAUUUAUCUGACAAAAACACCUUUUUUGUCCCCCCUCAUUUGUGAAAACCCAUUUCAUCUUCCUUCAGAGGGAGGUGCAGAACUUGAUGCUGAGUUGUUCAACUUUUCCCUGCACUGUUUAAAUCCUCCUGAACCACCCCAAACCCUCCCCACCCAUGGCACAAACACACUGAAAUCAAACUGCACAAAGGGAAUUUCAGUUUCUCCUCCACCAUCCAAGGGCGCAGCUUUAAAAAUCAGCUCUAAAAGUGAGAGUUUCCCCCUCACAGAUUUUUUUUUGGAGGCUGAUCCAGCCUGACUGCAAACUCGAUUGAUUCCCUUAAAAACUUAGAAGUAGAACCCAGCAGGGUCCCUGCACUGGGCAUUUGGCAGCUCCCUCACCCCGGGUUUUGGGGGCAACUCUGGAAUUCUCUCCCAGUCCCCUCUCAUCUCCUGAAGGGCCCUAUCCCAGUUUUGGGGGGACAAUUCCCCAGGUUUGGGUCGGUGCUGGAAGCCCAGCACCCCUCCCAGUGCUCUCCAGAGCCUUAAUUAAUUAAUUAACUCCCUGGUUAAUUAUUGCUCCAUCUCUCACUAAUUAUUGCUCUGUCCCUCCCUAAUUAUUGCUCUGUCCCAGAUUAAUUUCUCCCCAAGCUGAGCUUUUGCUCAAACACUUCCCCUCCUGAUGGGUGGCUGAGCAAAGGUGCCUCCUCUUUCCUCUCCACCUCGAGGAGCCCCGGAAAUCUGAAUAAAAGCAAACCCUGGUGAAAUUCAG
rnacentral:lncRNA from 1 species